AAAGAAAAUAAAAAGCUGAAAGUAGAUAACCUCGGAAAUCGUGUAACUUCAGAUAUGGAUGGAUGGGUAGCUUGAAAUCUGUCCAUGAUGACGUUAGGGAAGACAGCAUCCAAGCGAGGCUGAGGAGGAGAAAUUGAGCCUGCGCUUGGGAGGAGCUGAGGUCGGAUUGACGGCAAUGAUUGGGACGAAUGGAUCUGCUUCAGGGUGUUGAUUCGUCGGAACUUUGGGAUGGGAUCAGGGCAAGCACACUAUUAGUUUGAAGUCACCAUCACUGCCAGCAAGCACUUCAUCCUCCUUCAUUGUCAAUGUGGCUUUGUUAACUGUUGCACCGACAAAUUAAUGAACAGAUAUAGCUAGAGUUGAUCUUCAAGCGAUAAGGCUUCAGGCGUUGGGGAGGAAGGGCUUCAACACUAGAUAUGUUUUGAUAGGGAAAACAUCUUCGAUGGCGGAGUUGGUUUGAGGGAGAAGGAGGCUUCGGUUUCGAUUAAGGUAAAGGUAAAAGAAAGUUGGACCAUCCUUGAGUUGGAGAGCUUAGGUGGCAAUGUGUACAUAUGCAGCUGCUCGACCGCCACGGCCGAGGUUUGAAGGAGAGGAGCUAGGGUUAAAUCUUGUUUUGCCGCUUAGACUGGCUGGUUGUAAAUAUUUUCUUGUAAUAGACCUUUAAAUUAUAUUUUUGGGAUCCCAAUGUAUAUAAUAAACGUUCUAAUGAAACGUUAUAUCUUAACCAAAAAAUUUAAUCCCUAAACCACUAAUCAUACUUAGUUACACGAUUUUGGACAAAUGACUUGAUUAGCGAGUUUAGCACUGUUUACAAGGCACACCGUAAUGGUCCCUGGAGUUUAGGGUGUUACAUUCGCGCUUUGGUUCCUCAACGGUUUUGGCUUCUUCCAUGGAAGGCAAUUAGAAUUUGCUAGAAAAAUGUGCUCUUGGGUGUCCGUUAGGUCAGUAUAAGUAGCGUAGACAAGUUUGAAUUUUUCCCCGGAUUUAGUUUUCUUCGCCCCACUCAGAUCGCCCUCACCAUUCCCCUUCCUUUUAUUAUUCCCCCCUUGGUUAUUUUGGGAAACGAUUUGAGUCGUUGCUGCAACAUCCGUUACCGCUCCAACGGGUUGGACAGGGGUCUGGCCAGUUCCUACCACUGAAGCUCGCGCCUCCUCCAGGUUUAUCCACUCUUAAGCUCGGGCCAAGAAUUCGUCUACGCUCUUAACUCCUUUUGUUUGAAGUUCCUGCCAUAUGUCGCCCCCGACAAGGAUUCUCGUCCUCAAUGGCAUGAGCUUGGAAUUGUCAUCAACAUCCCUAGCUCGUGCAACAAUGUUGGCAAAUCUGCUUAGAUAUGCCUUCAAUGUCUCGCCAGGUUGCUACUUCACGUUGGCUAAAGAAUCAGCCUCAACCCGAGUUGCCUGUGAAGCUCGAAAUGCUUUUUUGAAAUCGGAAGAAAAUUUCUUCCACAAGCUUAUGGAAUGCCUCUUGUAUUACUUAAACCACUGUCUGGCAGGCCCGACCAGAGUUCCAGGGAAUAGGAUACACCUUAGAUCAAGCCCGACAUUGUGGGCCAUCGUCAUGGUGUUAAACUGUAACGCCCUGGCUACCCCAGAACAGUUACGGUGAACGGUGAACCAGAAAUUUGACCCGCUACCCGAGUCCUUUGGUUAAAAACGUGAUCUAAGUAUUAUUAACAGGUUAAGAUGUAAAACCAGUAAAAAGGAAAUGGCACUUUUCAUUAAGUAAAUAAACUGCUCAUGGGUCUUUUAAAAUGUUUACAAGUAGUUCAAGUUACAAAAGAGUUGCUACAGUCCCAUAUAUACAAUCUCCGCCGGCCUAAGCGGCAAAAAUAGGGAAAACCCCUAGUCCCUCUGAGAACUCCUUGACCGUGGCAGUCAAGCGGCCCUGUAUGUACAUCACAUCGCCCAAGCUCUCCACUCAAGGCUGGCCAAGUUUUUCCUUCCCUUUACCUGCACCACAUAGCACCCAUGAGCCGAGGCCCAGCAAGAAAACAUAACAAAACAUGAUAUAAUAUCAUCCACGAUCAUAAUAACCAGUUAGGACUAUCAGUCCAACAAAUAGGUGACAAUAGCUAAAAGUCACAGUAAUGAGCAUCGCUCCCUCUUGCCAUGUGACGAUAGGGUCACCAGGGCUUAACUGAAUAGUGAUUCAUUUAUAAGUUCGUUUAGGACAGGUGCAUGGUGAUUAGUCACCAACAUAACCUUCCUCAUGACUCUGGAGUCGAAACUAUGGACAACGUCCCUUAGCCAUGUGACAAACAGUCAUCGGGGCCUCAUACCUUGGCUAUAUUCAUCUGGUUGUAAGCCAGGCAAGCACUUAUAAGUUCCUCGACCCUAGGGUCGAUCUGGCAUUAAUGCUAUAGAGCCAUUCAAUGCAUGAUUCUCGACUUUAGAGUCGGUCCCUGACUAGUCAGUGUCUCAACAGGUAAACAACGUUCAACAGCAUUUAAUAUGCAAUCCAUGUCCACAUAUGUCAACCAACACGCCUUUAUUUCAAACCAUGCGUGUCAUAUACCUAUACAGGGUGCAACUGUAUCCAUACACUGUUUUCUUACCUCUGGUUCGAGUGAGAAUAAUUAUAUGAACGACCCCUGAGAACGAUCGACCUUUAAAUUCCUCGACGGUCACCUGGUCAUAACCAAAAUAUAGGAUUCAUCAAUAAAAAUGAUAACUGAGGGUUUCCCAAACCAAAACCCAGCCCCCGAGACCUCAAAUACUACCCAACCGGGUACUAGGUCCAACCCCGAGGCCUAUGGUUUGAAUCCCUAAGCUAAAAACCACUUUUUAGCAAAAUUGGCCUCAUGGGCCGCGGCCCCCAAAAGUUGUGCCGCGGCACGCCCCAAACAAAGAGGCCCCCCCAUCUUCCAGACGCGCAUGGGCCGCGGCACGCAAAAGCCGUGCCGCGGCACCCAGCCCAGAAAAGCUAGAACGACCACACACGAACCAGAUUUUCUCCCUGUUCGUUUUCCUCUCAAACCAGUCUCUCAAACCAUCAUAGAACCUUCUCCAAACAUGUAAUUGAACCCCCAAACAACAUCCUUAUCUCACUCACACCAAACCCCAAUCAAACUAACAUUAAAACCCUCAUUGAUUCACACUUUCCACACCAAAACUCAUGAUUCAAAAGCUAGAACAAAAACAGAGCUUAACUUGAAUUCAAUGGUCAAAGCUUACCUUAGAACCUGUUUUGAACUUCCCACACAAGCAGAACCAAGUCUCCAACCCAGCCCUAAGUUCCUCUAGCUUGAACCUCCACCAAGAACUCAAAACUCUCAAAGAAGGCAAUGGAGAAGAUGAGGCUAUGAGAAGGUACGGGAAGAGAAGAAACUAACCCCUGUUUUACUCUGUUUUAUCUACAGCCUUCUAAGUUACUUAGUCACAUAUAGCCUUCCAAAAAGACCAAAAUACCCCUUAUGUCAUCUUAAGUCUCCAAAGCCACCCCAAGGGCAAAAUUGGUACAUUCCGCUAAACCCGUUAAUAAUAAUUAACGCUUCCCAAUUCCCGCUAAUCUCAAUAUCCUCAAACACCAAUAUUUCAUAACCCGUUACCCUAAAAUCCCCGGUAACGCUAUAACCUUUAAUAUCACCCCGAGACUCACCCCGAGCCCCGAGCUCAAACCUGUUAUGACCAAACCGAUAAUCACGUUAAACGAUCGUCUCAUGUCGGAAUACUCGAACCAAUCCACAUUAUAAUGUGGUCUCACAAUAUAUCAUUAACAUACAACAAAUAUUCAAUUAUACCCUCAACGGGCCAAAUUACCAUAAUACCCCUGUAAACAAAUGUGGACUCACAAGCAUGCAUUUAACAUCAUAUGAUAAUAUAAUUCUCAUAAACAUGCACAAACACAUUUAAUGGCAUAAUUAAACAGUUAUGGCCCUCCCGGCCUACUAAUCCAGCCAUUAACCAUAAUAGGGAACCCGGGGCAUUACAUAAACAUUCUGAGGUGAUCGGAUGGAUCUCCAUUUCCAUCAAAUUUUGACAUGUGGGGCAUCCUAAAACCCAUAAGAUAUGUUUCUGCCACAAUGUUUGGAGCGAAAGGCUCGAGCUCCUCAUCUGAGUCACAAUCAUCCUUUUCUUUUCCAGAUAAAAGUCUUUUCAUUUGCUUUUCCAUUAGAGCUAGUCUCUCGAGGGUUUGGUCCCUAGUCCCUAGGUUAACUGGGGGGCUGUUCAACAGCUCCUGUCCUAUUGUACGUGUUUGAUGGGUUAUUGUCCCUCCAAGCUUGGGCUUGGUUUGGUAGGGCAUUCCCAUUGUCGCGUACUAUGGACGGACCUCCUUUGUGUCGAGUAUAGCUAACACCUUCAUCCCGAGCUAGAUACCUUCUCUGCGAGUUCGGAUGAUCGCGCAAGUCGGGUUGCGAGUCAUACUGAGGGCUUUGCGCUGAACUCAAGUGAUUUCUUAGGUCGCUCUCGGAUCUGUCGCUACGAUGACUUUCGAUCCAGUAACUUCCGUUUACGAAGCUUACAACUCGCGGUUGAGAUCGAGGGCCUGGAUUCUCAACACUCGUUCGUGGAGAGGAGGUAUUUGCGGAUGGGGGAGGAUUUCUCCUGCUAUUCCCAUAAUCUGAAAUAUCUCGUUGAGGACGAGGUGGUGUUGGAUGUCUUAUAGGUGACAGAGGAUGCCUUAUUGGUGAGGUUGUCCUUGUUCUAUCAGGACGGACUAGAUUAGCCUGUCUUUGUUUUAUUCCAACGUCCCUAGAUCUCGGUGCCCGGUGAUCCGAUCAUGGUAUGGAAGGAUUUGUUGGAGCAUUAAGCCUUCGCGAGCCUGUCCCAGCCCCUCCUCGUGGAUUGUCAUGGACAUUCCUGGGGGCCUGUGAAGAAGGCACCGAACUUAGGGUUGCAGUCCUGACUGACCGACUGACAUGUUGACAACCCAUGUGAUAGUCACUGGACCGAGCAUUCUGGUGAUCUCGCCCCGCAGGCAUAGAACUUGGAGUGGUGGUCCUGAUAGAUUUAUUUGGUUUGGAUCGGACCGAGCAUUCUGGUGAUCUUGCCCCGCAGGCAUAGUCACUGGACCGAGCAUUCUGGUGAUCUCGACCCGUGGGACUUAUGAGACCCACUUCGCCUCUUUUCGACAUUAACGUUGGUUGCAAGAGGGGCUAACUGAGCCAAAGCCUCAUCAAUCUACUUGUUUGCCCUAGCGAGAUGGCUCCUCAACUGCAUGUUUUCCAUUUUGAUGGCAGUCAAAUAGACUGGAUCAGGAUUUGGCGGUAACGGCGCCGAACUCCCGGUAUUGCCCUGAUCCGCCGGCUGCUUUCCCGGACAUUGUUGAACAUCCGGUCCCCUUUCAUCGAGAACACCGAUAUGAUGGGCCUCCUGCCCACUGGGCUGUUCUGCCUCAUUGUUGUGCAUUGAGCGAGUGACCACCAUGACAAAAAAUGAACGGGGACUUGUGUAGCACUAAUUCGCUCUCAAUGAAAACACCAAACUGUUGACGUGGUUUUUCGCCAACGAGAAAUUAAGAAGUAAAAAUGGUCGAUUAGUGCUUAGUAGUAAACCAUAAUGAAAUAACAAGAACUCACUCAAAAGUACCGAACUUAUACGUGGUUCAAUGGUUAUAAUUCACCUAGUUCACGAGUCAAUAUUAUUACUGUUUCUCUCUCUAUUUUGGCAGAGUUUCGGUAGUACAGAAUAAUGGUCCCCUUUCCUGUCCAAUAUUCCCAGUAUUUAUAGGGGAAUUCCAUGGACAGACUUGGGUUACCAUGUAAACAAAACACGUAAUUACACAUAUGAUAUAUAAUUAAUACAGAUUAUUCCCAUUUACAUUGGGAUAUGAUCAGAUAACAUAAUAAACAUGUUCCUGCUAUCUUGGGUUAUAAAUGACAUAAAUAUGAUUCAGCCUGGUCAAUAAUGAAUGUAUAAAUAAUUCCCAAGUCUCUUGGGAUCCUUUAGUAUGUGUUAUAUCUGGGUAUUCACGAGCUGUAUAUCUGAUACGAGCUCAAGCUUGAUAGCUAUCUGACUCCGGGCUCGUAAUAAGUCCAGGAUGCCUAAUACUACAUUUGACCAUUUCGAGUCUCGAGCUGCUCGGUUAAUAACCAGAUAUUCUACUUGAUUAUAUUUCCAUGUAUUUACCUACCAGCUGUACCCAAACUGAGUAAGUGAACUCGUACUAAAUUAGAGUACAACAGUUUUUAAUCAUUUUUAAAAUUUUAAAAUAAAUAUGUUUAGGUUUUAAAUGACUUUUUAAAAGAAUUUUUGGAUUUUAUUUUGAUUUUUUUAUUAUAUUUUAAAUCAUUUAUAAAUAAUUUUUUUAUAUAUAUUAAUGAUUUUUUUAAAAGUAAACGCGGGUCAAUCACUUGUUGUCAUGUAGGUGCUUCCUUAGCACUUAACAAAAAAUUUAACAUCAGUUACCUAAAUUGUCAAGAAAUGUUGAGGGAAGGUAUUUAUACCGUAAAAAAAGAUUUGGUAUUAAACUUCUAAUUUUGAAAAACUUAAGUAUUUUUACUGCGAAUUACUCUUGUAGUUUUAAUUCAUUUAUUUCUCCAUCUCCUUAAAAUAUUUCAAGGGAAGCAUGUAACCUAAUUUCAUGAUAUGAUUAGCUUGAGAUUAAUGUGAUUUCUUAAUUGUGUCUAAAGACUAAAAUAUUAUGUUUUUGUUACAUAUUAAUGUGUCACGCUAAUUUACGUAUUUUGCUACUUAUGCAUUUACACUGCGUGUCAGACGCACAAAAUUAUCAAUCAUACCCUUAAAUAAAUAAUAAAAUAUUAGAGUUUUUGUGCAAUUACAUAUACAACCUCAUUUAUCCACAAAAAAAAUUUAAUGAUAUAAAAGUGACAGCGUCACCAAAAUCGGUUGUAAUAGGUGAAAUAUUAAUUAAUUUAUUCAAUGUGGGAUCAUAACCUAUAUAAGCAACUAGGGUUUAUCACGAUUUGUACGACAAAAACUGCCACAAUUAUUAGCUUUGUGUAAAAAAAUCUUUAAUUAACAAAGAAAUGGAGUGUGAAUCAUCCCCUUCUGUAUGAGGCGGGCGUGAUGGAAUCGAUCGAAUAUUUAUAUAUAUAUGGGGAGAAUUCUCCGUGUAUAUAUAUAUAUAAAAAUAAAUAUAAGAUAAUUCUCUUGUAGGAGCUUCAUUUUAAGUCUUAUCAGUGGGGCUCUCAGUGUUUUCGACCCGUGAACAGUUUUUGGCGCGAUUUUUUUUAAGACUGUAUAUAUUGUAGCUAUUUAGAGCAUCCUGCAAAUUUUUAGAAAAUUCCGAAUA